UACGAAUGGAGCAAGCGUUGUUCGGAAUCACUGGGCUUAAAGCGUGCGUAGGCGGAAGCGUAAGUCAGGAGUGAAAUCCCGGGGCUCAACCCCGGAACUGCUCUUGAAACUACGCUUCUAGAAUCCGAUAGAGGUCAGGAGAAUUCCUAGUGUAGAGGUGAAAUUCGCAGAUAUUAGGAGGAAUACCAGUGGCGUAGGCGCCUGACUGGGUCGGUAUUGACGCUGAGGUACGAAAGCGUGGGUAGCAAACAGG
rnacentral:rRNA from 1 species